GAAAGCUCUCACUGGCACUUGUUCCCCUUGGAUGGGAUAACUAGAGGGGGUAGCAACCCAGCCUCUGUCUCCACUGCCCCAUCAGAAUAAAAACACCUCAGGAGCCCUGAGUCCCCCUGUCAUAGCUGUGGAACCUUUACCAAGGAAGGAGAAGAUAUUGACACAAGUUAUUUAGAAGAAAAGCAACACCAUUUCCAUAGUUGUUAUUCCUAUGUCUGGUAGGAGGCUGGAUUAUUCUUCAUAGCAAGACAGAUCAAAUGCAUAAGCAG